UUUUUCAAGAGAGAGCCGGACAGACCGGCCGCCGAAGAGGCAAGCCAUGUAUACGAGGGUGAACGUAUACGGGUGAAACUUUCAGGCAAAAGGACUGGGAA
rnacentral:ncRNA from 1 species